rnacentral:tRNA from 1 species
UGGGAGAUCGUCUAAUGGUAAGACGGGUGGCUCUGGACCAUCUGAUCGGGGUUCGAAUCCCUGUCUCCCAGCCA